UGUGUGUGGUUAUUUACUGAACUCAACUCUCAUUAACGAGUCUCAUAUUCUCAUUAUUCAGUCAGAACCAGAAAUUUUCCAAAAAUCUUGCUUUUUAAGGUAAUAAAUUACACUGGUGCUUUUAUUUCGAAAGGAUAAAGAGGAAAUGUGUGGGGGUAAAUAUGUAACUGUCAAUUAGUCUUUAAAUAGUCCUAAUUAACCAUUCUAAGGCAAAACGGUGGAAAAAAAAACGGUGCAGUUAAAGCUAAUAAGUUGCAUUGGUGCUUUUAUUUUGAAAGGAUUUAGAGAAAGUGUGUGCGUAAUUAUUACACAAUCCAAUAGUGUUGUUGACUAAUCAGUAAUAAGCAUGGAACUGCUGUGUACACUGAGCAACAGGAGUUUGACCUGUCAGUCAAAUCUGCAGCUGUGCUGUUGCCAUAGAGACGAAAGGUGGGGAAUUCAGGCUCACUCUGCUCUGUGAAAGCAGACUUUCACCCUUGAUAAAUAGGCUUGUUUCAGCAAAACCAUAAUAGUUAUAACAGAAAUAACUUUAAUUUAUGAAUCCCAAGGCUUCAAUGAACAACUGGUUUGAAUUAUCUGGUUUAGGACUAAAGAUUGCGGUCCCACUCAUGAUUUCAAAAUGUGUCUCCUUGUAUGACUACAAACGAGAGAAAGAUUUACAUUGAUAGAGUGAAAACUGUGGCUAUAGUGACAAGUUAAAAAAAAUCUGGCUUAAAAAACAUGCCCUCAUACUCUAGCUGUGACAUCACACACUCUAGGUCACGCAAUACACACCAAUGGAAACACUGAAUAAUCACUGACAACCACAUGAUAUUUAGAUGCUACAAAGUCGAAAACUAUAAAAGACACAAGAACUUUGAUUUACAAGGAGAAAGUUGAACAAUGAUAGAUGCUUUUAAAGAUUAAAUGAUGUUUCUAUGCCAAAGUAUGACAAUGACAGAAGCUGAUGAAAAGAGGGCAGUUGACAAAAAGUUGAACGAUGAUUCCCAUAGACGACCAUUAUAAAAAAAAAAUAAUGAAAAACGUUGAAUAACGUUGAAAGUUUAAAAUCUGGAAACCUGGAAAGUAAUAGCCCCUAGUAAUAAGUGUUACUGCGCUCAGUCACUAAUCUACUGCAGCUACGCUGUUGUCAUGGAGACAGUGCUCCAAAGGCAGGAACCUCCACAGUCCAGCUCAAUAGUUCCAGUGAAGCUGAUUUCUACCCCUGCUUAACUGGGUUGUUACAGCAAAACCAUAAGGGUUAUCACAAAAAUAACUUCACUUUAUGAAUUCCAAGGCUUCAGUGUGAAACUGGCGUGUGUUUUAUUUUUAAGGAGUAAAAAUUGCGGCAACAGUCGCAAUUUAAAAAUUCCAAUCCUCCUUCAUUUCUUCACAGAAGUCUUCCAGGUAAAUGCAUUAGAGUCUAUGGAGGAUUUCUGGAACUCUCUGCAAUUUGAGGCAGCUACAAACUAAAGUGUAGCUCUGAGGGCUUAACCAGACCCAUCAUUGAAAAAAGACAAGUAAGAUUAUGACUUAGUGAAAAAAUAUGUGUAAAAAAUAUGUUCAUAGAGAGAAAACUGUGGCUGUAGUGAUGAGUUAAAGAAAAAGGUUCUGUCUUAAAAAACAAGCUUUCACACUCUAGCUGUGACAUCACGCACUCUAGCUGACGCAAUACACACUAAUGGAAAAGCUGACUAAAGAUUCUUAAUCCUGCAGCGGGCUUAAAAAAACAGGACGCUAGUCUCGUUUUAACCACCAGAUGGCAAAGCAUUGAUUAGAAGCCUCCAAUGCACUACAGCGUAACUGAGGUCCAACUGUUCAUAAUCACAUAAUCACAGAAUUAUGUGAAGCCAAUAUAUUGUAUUAGAUGUCAGAGUGGUGGGUAUGUACAUAUUCUUAAGAUAUGCAUGCUGUCAAAUUGCAUAUUGAAUUGCCAAAUGCAAAAUGGAUUUUCAAAUUCAUCUAUACAUUUUCCAUACCGCCUAAUCCUGUAUGUGGGGGUGCUGGAGCCUAUCCCAGCUGGCUAUGGGCGAGAGGCGGGGUACACCCUGGACAGGUCGCCAGUCCAUCGCAGGGCAACACAUAGACAACCAUUUACACACGCACUCACACCUAAGGGCAAUGGUAGUCAGCCAAGCUAAUGCACAUUUUUGGACAGCAGGAGGAAGCCAUUUUCAAAUUGAAUGAUGAUAUUGCAUAUUGAAUUGCCAAUUGAGAAAUGUAUUGUGAAUUGGAUUUUGAGUCUGAAAAACUGUUUCCUCUGUGUCUGCAGAACUGCAGUUUGACUUGUUCUGACUGCGUGACUGGCCAAAUAAAGACAGAGCGAAGUCCAUUUGCAAACUCAGCCGCUGAUUUAGGUUUUAAACUUCCACAACUUGUUAAUGAAUGUUUUCCAAUAGUCGUAGAUUUUACGUAAAUAACUGUAAUAAUCAAUCAAUUAGUUUUACAGCAGUUGUCGAUCUUAACUUUGACAGGCAAAAAUAAUUAGUUUUUUACAAAAAGACACCGAAUUGGGUUUAAGAUGUUUUUUUGUUUACAGACAAACGGAAAACAAGAAAAGUCGUUCUCUCGUUACCUCUGCUUAUCAUUUGGUGGAGACAUCAUCUCUUAAAAGUUACACAAACCUUAAAGGAGUCAUAUCAUGCUUUUCAUUCUAAAAAAUAUUAGACUUUAAUGUCUCAGUAAGGUCUCUGUAAAUUUUCAUCCCAUAAAACCCUUUAGAUCGUCCACACUGCCCCUGUCAAUCUGUGGUUUUUACUCCCCAUCAGCAAACGCUGUGUUUUCUGGGCGUGUCGCAAGCGAAGCUGCUCACCACACCUCUGUGCGGAAGCGCAUACCUUUUUUGUUGUUUUUUUUUUAAAUUGGCUCCAUGGAUACGAGCCACCGCACGGUUAGGAUACUAUAGGUGGCAGUAGUGCGACAUUGAGAGUGCAAUCCACCGCAAUCCUCCACAGAAGAAGAAGACCCACUACAGAACUGCACGACAUUAGUCAGCUGGUUCGUAGCGUAGUAGAACCAUACGUCUACGAUCCCGAAUCUGACCCUGAAGCUGAAGAGGAGGCUGUUGAAGUCACCACAUUUCGGCUGAUGCAAGAUGUGUCUCAUUGUUGUUACAGGUAUCUAGUCUACAGAGGCUAGUGAGCUGGUGCUGAGGAUUCCUGGGGUGAAGAAUCUGAGUUGCCAUCUCUUCAUGCUUGGGUUGUAGAUGAAGGCAGUUUCCUGAUGGAUAAAACACUAAAACACUCAUAGUAUGAUUGAUGUAGACCACCUGUAGAAUAACUCCUUUACCGUUUGAGUAAAAAUGUGUUUUUUUGUGAGUGCAACACUCAUUAAGAAUUUUUUUAACUUUAUUUAUAUAUAAUUUAUAUGCGUUUUAUUUAUGGCCGCUUCAACUUUAUAGCUUACCAUAUUAGAAAGAGAAAAACAUGUAAUUUCAAUACUAUGAUUUCCUAAAUAAAAGUGUUUUCCCUUCAGAAA